ensembl:snRNA U6 U6 spliceosomal RNA
GUGCUUGCUUCAGCAGCCUGUAUACUAAAAUUGAAACAAUACAGAGAUUAUCAUGGCCUCUGCUCAAGGAUGACAUACAAAUUCAUGAAGCAGUUGGGUAUUUUU